AUUGAACGCUGGCGGCAUGCCUUACACAUGCAAGUCGAACGGCAGCACGGGAGCAAUCCUGGUGGCGAGUGGCGAACGGGUGAGUAAAGUAUCGGAACGUGCCCAGUCGUGGGGGAUAACGUAGCGAAAGUUACGCUAAUACCGCAUACGAUCUACGGAUGAAAGCGGGGGAUCGCAAGACCUCGCGCGAUUGGAGCGGCUGAUAUCAGAUUAGGUAGUUGGUGGGGUAAAGGCUCACCAAGCCGACGAUCUGUAGCUGGUCUGAGAGGACGACCAGCCACACUGGGACUGGGACACGGCCCAGACUCCUACGGGAGGCAGCAGUGGGGAAUUUUGGACAAUGGGCGCAAGCCUGAUCCAGCCAUGCCGCGUGCAGGAUGAAGGCCUUCGGGUUGUAAACUGCUUUUGUACGGAACGAAAAGGUUUGGCCUAAUAAGCUGGACCCAUGACGGUACCGUAAGAAUAAGCACCGGCUAACUACGUGCCAGCCGCCGCAGUAA
rnacentral:rRNA from 1 species